CCUACGGGUGGCAGCAGUGGGGAAUAUUGCGCAAUGGGGGCGACCCUGACGCAGUAACGCCGCGUGAUUGAAGAAGGCCUUCGGGUUGUAAAGAUCUUUAAACAGGGACGAAGAAAUGACGGUACCUGAAGAGUAAGCUCCGGCUAACUACGUGCCAGCAGCCGCGGUAAUACGGAGGGAGCAAGCGUUAUCCGGGUUUACUGGGUGUAAAGGGCGUGUAGGCGGGCAUGUGAGUCAGAAGUGAAAUCUGGGGGCUUAACCCCCAAACUGCUUUUGAAACUGCGGGUCUUGAGUGAUGGAGAGGCAGGAGGAAUGCGCGGUGUAGCGGUGAAAUGCGUAGAUAUUGGGAGGAACACCAGUGGCGAAGGCGGCCUGCUGGACAUUAACUGACGCUGAGGCGCGAAAGCGUGGGGAGCAAACAGGAUUAGAUACCCGAGUAGUC
rnacentral:rRNA from 1 species